AGGGCGUUAUAAGACCUGCUAACUCUUUAAUCUGGGAAUAAUCACCAGCCCCCUC
rnacentral:tRNA from 1 species